UAAAUUAUAUUAUUUUGUGAUAAAUAUAAAAAAAUCUAGCUGUAUAAGUAUAUAUAAUAUAAUAUAAAAUAUUGAUAUAUAAUAAAUAAUAUAAAAUAAUAAUAUUGAUAAAUUUUUAGAUAAAUAUAUUAUUUUAUA
rnacentral:misc_RNA from 1 species